rnacentral:rRNA from 1 species
GACAGAGGGUGCAAACGUUGUUCGGAAUUACUGGGCGUAAAGCGAGUGUAGGCGGUGUGGUAAGUCGGAUGUGAAAUCCCCGGGCUCAACCUGGGAACUGCAUUUGUGACUGUAGAGCUGGAGUGCGGCAGAGGGGGAUGGAAUUCCGCGUGUAGCAGUGAAAUGCGUAGAUAUGCGGAGGAACACCGAUGGCGAAGGCAAUCCCCUGGGCCUGCACUGACGCUCAUGCACGAAAGCGUGGGGAGCAAACAGG